CAUUAUUGAAGCAUAGAGCGCGCUUUAUUGUGGCUCGACCCUUCACAUCCAUUCACCCUGUGCACUGUAAUCAUUUAUCAUUAAACCCUACUAGUCAAUGAAUGUAAAGGACCUUUAUAAUUAAUAUAAAACUUUCAACAACGGAUCUCUUGGCUCUCGCAUCGAUGAAGAACGCAGCGAAAUGCGAUAAGUAAUGUGAAUUGCAGAAUUCAGUGAAUCAUCGAAUCUUUGAACGCACCUUGCGCCUUUUGGUAUUCCGAAAGGCACACCUGUUUGAGCGUCAUGAAUACCUCAAUCCCCAUGUUAUCUUUUUGAUGCAUGGGUGACUUGGAUGUUGAGCAUUGCUGGCCUGGUUUGUAACCAAGUCGGCUUGCUUUAAAUGCAUCAGCCGGCUCUGUACUUGAUCGGUCCGACUCAAUGUGAUAACAUCUUCAUUGAGGAUUGCAUUGACAUAAAUGCAGCCGGAAAGUACAAAGCAGCUUUCUAGCCUGCUCAUCUUGUGAUGGCACCAUUUUACAUUUUAGACCUCAAAUCAGGUGGGACUACCCGCUGAACUUAAG
rnacentral:rRNA from 1 species